rnacentral:rRNA from 1 species
GAUGAACGCUGGCGGCGUGCCUAAUACAUGCAAGUCGAGCGAACAGACGAGGAGCUUGCUCCUCUGACGUUAGCGGCGGACGGGUGAGUAACACGUGGAUAACCUACCUAUAAGACUUGGAUAACUUCGGGAAACCGGAGCUAAUACCGGAUAAUAUAUUGAACCGCAUGGUUCAAUAUUGAAAGACGGUUUUGCUGUCACUUAUAGAUGGAUCCGCGCCGCAUUAGCUAGUUGGUAAGGUAACGGCUUACCAAGGCGACGAUGCGUAGCCGACCUGAGAGGGUGAUCGGCCACACUGGAACUGAGACACGGUCCAGACUCCUACGGGAGGCAGCAGUAGGGAAUCUUCCGCAAUGGGCGAAAGCCUGACGGAGCAAAGCCGCGUGAGUGAUGAAGGUCUUCGGAUCGUAAAACUCUGUUAUUAGGGAAGAACAAAUGUGUAAGUAACUAUGCACGUCUUGACGGUACCUAAUCAGAAAGCCACGGCUAACUACGUG